rnacentral:lncRNA from 1 species
AGGAAUUCCAGGGGCUUGCUGGACUUGACCUUACUAGGUGAGGGGAAGUCUAACUGGCUACUGGGCUAUAUGAUCUCCUCAGGUGGGACAAAGGUCUGUGUACACUGGGAGAUGUAGGCUUGGGGUUAGGGGAGUGUGGGUGUGGCAAUUCUACUCCUGCUGCUUCAUGACCAGAUAUCUGGGGUUUGGACACACCCCGACCACACUCUUCUCCAGGCUUACUCCCCACGGCUCCUCCAGCCCCACAACAUUGCUGAGAAUAAGUGACUGAUCACCUCUGUAGCAAGUCUUCUCCUGAAAGGCUCAGGGAACAUCUUGGAACAGGAGGGAGAAAGUCCGUAGGAGCCGAAGGACUGGGGAGUGCUGUGAAAUGCGGUCUGCUGUAUCUGACACGGCCAUUACCCUCAUGAACUCACAGCAACUCCGGUUGUCUGCUCAAGACCUACACAAGAUCAAGCCAAUGGAAAUUCCAUGGAUGGGAGAGGGACUUGCAAGGCUCUGCUCCUUAGAUGAGAGGAAGCCUCCCAAGGAGCCUCCUGAGAGCAGAUGUAUGCCACCCGUGUUGGAGGAAAACUUACUUCCUUUAUGGAACCAGACUUGUGUUCCUCAUAGUUUGGAUGUGAAGCCUGCCACCCUCAGCCCAUGCUUGUAUGCGGAUGCCUUGGUUCCAGCCAGUAGUGCUUUUGAGAGAUGCUUUUGAGAGGUGUUAACCUCAAUGGAUCAGUUCAUUGGGAGAAUUUGAAAUGCUAUUGCCAUUUGGGGGAAAUUCUGACAUGAACAAGAUUGUUCAUUCAGGAAGUGGAUCAGAACAAAAGAACGAAGAAACUCUCAUGAGAACAUUGUUGUCUUGCUUGUCUUAAAGAGUGAAAACUUUUGUUUAACCUCAGAAGUCAGGCCUGCUCUGUUUUUUUGUACUUGGAGAUUAAUAAGAGCUGACAUUGUAAUUGUAUGGCUUGAUAAAAUUGUCAAGGACUCAAAUGAU